AUUGAACGCUGGCGGCAGGCUUAACACAUGCAAGUCGAGCGGAGAGGCGGACGGGGGAGGAAUGCCUAGGAAUCUGCAGGGUGGUGGGGGAGAACGUCCGGAAACGGGCGCUAAUACAGCAUACUAUCAGAGGAGCCUAGGGCGGAUUAGCUGGUUGGUGGGGGAAAGGCCUACCAAGGCGACGAUCCGUAACUGGUCUGAGAGGAUGAUCAGUCACACUGGAACUGAGACACGGUCCAGACUCCUACGGGAGGCAGCAGUGGGGAAUAUUGGACAAUGGGCGAAAGCCUGAUCCAGCCAUGCCGCGUGUGUGAAGAAGGUCUUCGGAUUGUAAAGCACUUUAAGUUGGGAGGCGUUACCAACAGAAUAAGCACCGGCUAACUUCGUGCCAGCAGCCGCGGUAAUUC
rnacentral:rRNA from 1 species